UACGUAGGUGGCAAGCGUUAUCCGGAAUUACUGGGCGUAAAGCGCACGCAGGCGGUCUUUUAAGUUUGACGUGAAAGCUCCCGGCUUAACUGGGAGAGGUCGUUGAAUACUGGAAGACUUGAGGAAAUGAGAGGGGUGUAGAAUUCCUGGUGUAGUGGUGGAAUGCGUAGAUAUCGGGAGGAACACCAGUGGCGAAGGCGGCGACCUGGGCCAAUAUUGACGCUGAGGUGCGAAAGCGUGGGGAGCAAACAGG
rnacentral:rRNA from 1 species